AUCCAGCUGUCGAGUUCCAAAUAGGACGAAAUCCGCGUUAAACUGGAU
rfam:Schistosoma curassoni strain Dakar, Senegal genome assembly, scaffold: SCTD_scaffold0003597